rnacentral:rRNA from 1 species
CCUACGGGAGGCAGCAGUGGGGAAUAUUGCACAAUGGGGGAAACCCUGAUGCAGCGACGCCGCGUGAGUGAAGAAGUAUUUCGGUAUGUAAAGCUCUAUCAGCAGGGAAGAAAAUGACGGUACCUGAUUAAGAAGCCCCGGCUAACUACGGGCCAGCAGCCGCGGUAAUACGUAGGGGGCAAGCGUUAUCCGGAUUUACUGGGUGUAAAGGGAGCGUAGACGGCAGGACAAGUUUGGAGUGAAAUGCCGGGGCUUAACCCCGGAACUGCUUUGGAAACUGUGGAGCUGGAGUGCAGGAGAGGUAAGUGGAAUUCCUGGUGUAGCGGUGAAAUGCGUAGAUAUUAGGAGGAACACCGAUGGCGAAGGCAGCUUACUGGACUUUAACUGACGUUGAAGCUCGAAAGCGUGGGGAGCAAACAGGAUUAGAUACCCUUGUAGUC